UGUAAGCGUAUACCAAAGUUGUUGCAGUUAAAACGCUCGUAGUCGGAAUUUGGCAGUUCCGGAUGUGUGCACGUCGUGUGCGCACUUCGCGGGGAUUGCUUUUGUGGUCUUGCGUAGGAUGAGGCACUUUUAUUAGUGAACGUCCUCACGCAACCACUUUUUACUGUGAGAAAAUCAGAGUGCUCAAUGCAGGCAUUUGCCGUGAAUGUAUUAGCAUGGAAUAAUAGAAUAGGACUUGGUUCUAUUUUGUUGGUUUGUUGGGACUGAGUAAUGAUUAAGAGGGACAGUUGGGGGCAUUUGUAUUUCGGUGCUAGAGGUGAAAUUCUUAGAUUACCGAAAGACAAACUGCUGCGAAAGCGUCUGCCAAGGAUGUUUUCAUUGA
rnacentral:rRNA from 1 species